AGGAAACCGUCUGUGAUUUAUCGUUCUCUUUUAGACUAGGAGCUGCUAAAGAAGAUAGCUAAAGGAAGGCUGCUUUAAACUGCUUCGCUGUUCCUACACCCUUACUUGGCAGUUAGUGAGGUAAAGCGCUUUCUUCUCUAACACUUUUCCUAAGGCAGUCUGAGAAGAUACCACCGUUCCCAAAAAGGGACAAAAAAUAAAAAUAAAGUAUUCUCCUCGGGUUUCUCGAAGCCACGCGUCUUACGGCGCGUGGCAGCUGGCGCGUGCCCUGCUGCUCUUCAGAUUUUCCCGCUCAUCUCGUGUGCAACCCAGCGCCGCUGCUGGAAGGUCCUGUCUGGUGGAACAGCUGCUUCAGAUGAUAUACCUCAGGAUGAUGUGGCUGUAGUGUUUUUAUCAGUGGCUACUGAGAAAGGAGCAUCCAAAAGGCAGAUUCGCCUAAGAACUGGUGAGAAGGCAAAGAAUGGCAAUUGGAUGUAUCGGGUGGAUCCAGUGAAAUAUGAUUUGAAUGGGACAGCAUAGACUUUUUCUCCUUCUGUUUCUCCUCUGGACAUCUAAUUGAUCCCUCUGAUUCUCCUUGAUGUGGAAUUCUUUCCCAGAGGUGCAAGGCCAGUCUCCUUUCAAGGUUAAUUGCAAAUGUGGUAAGAGACAGACUAGCUUGGGGCAGCUCCGGUGAUACAGUAAUUAGUCUCGGAAGGAAGGCAGAAAGGCAACUGCCAGGAAGAGUUUACCCAACUCUAUACUACGUUUAAAGAUCUGCAUCAUAUGGGAGAUUUUGGCCAUAUUGCAAAUGUGGUACCUGUAUUCGUUUUCAGAGUAAGCAGGAGUGUGCGUGCCCCUAUGUGGGGCAGCCACGGCAGUGAUUUCUUUCUCCUCAAGUGCUUGGCGGCUUGGGGCUUUGCUGUACGUUGUGCCAUAGUGUGAGGCAUUUCUGAAAAUAAAUUAUUUCAAU
ensembl:lncRNA